rnacentral:rRNA from 1 species
GAUGAACGCUGGCGGCGUGCUUAACACAUGCAAGUCGAACGGAAAGGCUCCUGCUUGCUGGGGUACUCGAGGGGCGAACGGGGGAGGAACACGUGGGUGAUCUGCCCUGCACUUCGGGAGAAGCCUGGGAAACUGGGUCUAAGACAGGAUAGGACGCUGGUUAGGAUGCCAUGGAGGAGAGUUUUGCGGUGUGGGAUGAGCUCGCGGCCUAUCAGCUUGUUGGUGGGGUAAUGGCCUACCAAGGCGUCGACGGGUAGCCGGCCUGAGAGGGUGUACGGCCACAUUGGGCCUGAGAUACGGCCCCGACUCCUACGGUAGGCAGCAGUGGGGAAUAUUGCACAAUGGGCGCAAGCCUGAUGCAGCGACGCCGCGUGGGGGAUGACCGCCUUCUGGUUGUAAACUCCUUUCGCUAGGGACGCAGCCCAAGUGACGGUACCUGGAGAAGAAGCACCGGCUAACUGCGUG